rnacentral:rRNA from 1 species
CCCUACGGGGGGCAGCAGUGAGGAAUAUUGGUCAAUGGACGCAAGUCUGAACCAGCCAUGCCGCGUGAAGGAUGAAGGCCUUCUGGGUUGUAAACUUCUUUUAUGGGGGAAGAAAACUAUGGUUUCUACUAUAGCCGACGGUACCCUAGGAAUAAGCACCGGCUAACUCCGUGCCAGCAGCCGCGGUAAUACGGAGGGUGCAAGCGUUAUCCGGAUUUACUGGGUUUAAAGGGUGUGUAGGCGGGCUUUUAAGUCAGUGGUGAAAUCUCCGGGCUCAACCUGGAAACUGCCAUUGAUACUAUUAGUCUUGAAUAUUGUUGAGGUAGGCGGAAUAAGUCAUGUAGCGGUGAAAUGCAUAGAUAUGACUUAGAACACCGAUUGCGAAGGCAGCUUACUAAGCAAUGAUUGACGCUGAGGCACGAAAGCGUGGGGAUCAAACAGGAUUAGAUACCCGUGUAGUCC